ensembl:lncRNA
AUGUCGGGCUGCUGUCACCUGCCUCGUUUUGCCCUCUCGCUGGAUGAGAGCUCCCUUCUGCCUCCACCUCUGGCAGGCCCAGAGCCACUCCUGGUGCAGGAGAUCUCCCCACCUCCGUCCUCCCCCUGCCCAGGACAUGGGAGGUUGUGGACACGCCGAGAGCUUCCAGGAGCCAGGCCCCAGGAGCGCCCAAAGAUUGUUUUGCGUGCUUUAAGCUUCCAAUUAUUCGGAAUCCCAACUUCAUUGUUUAACAAAGGGGAUUUUCCCCUCUUCCUCUCUCCCCAGGCCGUGUCCCAUCCAGUUGCAACGCCUGACAAACGGGCUUGUCACCGUGCCCUGGACAGCCAGCUGCAGGGCCGGCAGCGUGAGCAUCGCUCAGCCAGCCUCAGCUCACCGUGGGGAGCACCGUCGAGCAGCACGCAGAUGUGCGGGCAGCACCGCUUCCUCCUCCUUUGGCUCAGGAAGAAGAAAAGCCGGAGGAAUAACUCACGGGACUCGAGGGCCCGGCUGGGUUUCCCCCCUGCGGAGGACGGGGAGCACGGCCCGUCAUUUUGUCCUCGCCUUCCCUUUCGCUGCCUUUCUCGAACUGCCAGCCCUUUUGUUCCCAUUUUACCAUUUGCCGUCGGCCUCGGUGGGCUGGAUCCCACGGGUGGGGAGGAGAUGUUCCUGGAGAGCAACAAGGGGGUGUUCUCCCUGGAGAACCGGGCUGCUGCAGGGCUGAAGCUGCUUUGUCUGAAGGCUCCGUGACCUGCCCUGUAUAGGGGCUUGUCGUGGGCAAAACAGUCCCAAUUUGGGAAAUUUUUACUUAAUUAAAGGUAUUGCCAGUUAAUACGCAUUUUUAGCCAGCAGUCUGUGUAUUAAACAAGCUAUAACAAUGGAACAAGCAUUCUGCCCGCCACCCCAGGGCAUCUCUUGGCCCAAACACAAACCUCUCCCAUGCCUAGUCGCAGCUUCCCUUGUUCCAGGUUCCACUCGAUCUGUCCCAAAUGCUUCGAGAGGUUACAGCCAUGCACAGCUGUUUCUGGCUGCCACCUCUCCGUGCUUCUUAAUGGGUUUCUCCCACUCCUGUGGUGCUGGUCCCCCCCAGCCGCGGUCCCUCAGGGAUGUCACCCAUGGCGUGUCCCACGUGUGAGCACAUCUCCAGCUCCCGUCUCCUGCCCCACCUCCGCCCCACGUCUCCUCCAGCAUCGCUGUUCGGGAUCACAGCUCGGCAGGGACCGCCGCUCCCGCACGGUCCCGCAGGACUUUUGUUCUGUUGGUGCCAGGAGCUGCAUUGACUGAGCCCCGCAGCGCCAAACAGCAGCUGGCUGCGGUCAGCAGCCUCUGGGAGAAAGCACCGGGGGUGAGAAAGGUGGGGAAAACGCCCCGGCUGCAGGAUACAUCCCAGCGCUUGUGCUUCCCCAGCACCUCGCCCUCCUCGUGGUGCCCCGCCACGGGCAGCUCUUUGCAGAGCUCAGUCCCGGUGGCAGGGACCCCUGCGCUUAGCUGGGGUGUUAAUUAUGCUCGGGCACUUGCGGCAAUUAAAACGUUGCUGGCCGUUCUCUGCCCCAGCUGUAACAACAGCUGCUGGAGCCGGGUCGCUGCAGCGCUGGGCGCAGGAGGCAAGACAAAGGGUUUUCGGCAGCAGGGCUUGCCAGGAGAGCUCUUCCAGGGCAGGGAGUUCCUCCGAGGAGGAAAUCCCAUCUCGCUCUCCCUCCCUGUCCCCAAACACGCCGUGACUCUGGUAUCUUGCUGUCCUUGCCGGAGC